rnacentral:rRNA from 1 species
AGUGAACGCUGGCGGUAGGCCUAACACAUGCAAGUCGAGCGGAAGCACAGUAAGAGCUUGCUCUUACGGGUGGCGAGUGGCGGACGGGUGAGGAAUACAUCGGAAUCUACUUUUUCGUGGGGGAUAACGUAGGGAAACUUACGCUAAUACCGCAUACGACCUACGGGUGAAAGCAGGGGAUCUUCGGACCUUGCGCGAUUGAUUGAGCCGAUGUCGGAUUAGCUAGUUGGCGGGGUAAAGGCCCACCAAGGCGACGAUCCGUAGCUGGUCUGAGAGGAUGAUCAGCCACACUGGAACUGAGACACGGUCCAGACUCCUACGGGAGGCAGCAGUGGGGAAUAUUGGACAAUGGGCGCAAGCCUGAUCCAGCCAUACCGCGUGGGUGAAGAAGGCCUUCGGGUUGUAAAGCCCUUUUGUUGGGAAAGAAAAGCAGCAGGUUAAUACCCCGCUGUUCUGACGGUACCCAAAGAAUAAGCACCGGCUAACUUCGUG